GAGUUUGAUCCUGGCUCAGGAUGAACGCUAGCGGCAGGCUUAAUACAUGCAAGUCGUGGGGCAGCGCAGUGUAGCAAUACAUGGGCGGCGACCGGCAAACGGGUGCGGAACACGUACGCAAUCUACCCAGAACUGGGGCAUAGCCCGGGGAAACCCGGAUUAAUACCCCGUAACAUAAUUGAAGUGGCAUCACUUUAUUAUAAAAGCUCCGGCGGUUUUGGGUGAGCGUGCGUCUGAUUAGGUAGUUGGUGCGGGUAACGGCCCACCAAGCCUUCGAUCAGUAACUGGUGUGAGAGCACGACCAGUCACACGGGCACUGAGACACGGGCCCGACUCCUACGAGAGGCAGCAGUAAGGAAUAUUGGUCAAUGGACGCAAGUCUGAACCAGCCAUGCCGCGUGGAGGAUGAAGGCCCUCUGGGUUGUAGACUUCUUUUAUCUGGGACGAAACACUCAUAUUCUUAUGAGACUGACGGUACCAGAGGAAUAAGCACCGGCUAACUCCGUGCCAGCAGCCGCGGUAAUACGGAGGGUGCAAGCGUUAUCCGGAUUCACUGGGUUUAAAGGGUGCGUAGGCGGGCAGGUAAGUCAGUGGUGAAAUCUCCAAGCUUAACUUGGAAACUGCCGUUGAUACUAUCUGUCUUGAAUACUGUGGAGGCGAGCGGAAUAUGUCAUGUAGCGGUGAAAUGCUUAGAUAUGACAUAGAACACCAAUUGCGAAGGCAGCUCACUACACAGCCAUUGACGCUGAGGCACGAAAGCGUGGGGAUCAAACAGGAUUAGAUACCCUGGUAGACCACGCCCCUAAACUAUGGAUACUCGACAUACGCGAU
rnacentral:rRNA from 1 species